GAACCAACAGAGGCAUAUCCUGUUCAACCAUCUCCUCAAGGACAGGUAGACACUUCCCAAAAAGAUCUGUAACACCAUCUUGGGAAUUGGUUGUAGCACCAGCAGGAUACAAUUUUACAGCAUAAACGGCCCCACUUCUUCUUGCAAGCUUGAUUUCGUUGGGGCUCAUUGUAUCUGUCAAAUAAAGGGUCAUAAGAGGAACGAAGUUGCUAUUGGACGGUAAUGCUUUCAAGAUAGAAUCUCGAUAAGCCACAGCGGCAGCUGUGGUAGUGAUUGGUGGCUUCAAAUUUGGCAUCACAAUAGCCCUCCCAAAGUUACUUGCACUAUGAGGGAGAACGGCUUUUAAAAG
rnacentral:misc_RNA from 1 species